ACAUAUUUUAAAACAUAAGGGGGCAAGCAAAAUAAGAAAGAAAAAUAGGAGGGAAGGUAAAUUUUGCCAUUAAAAUUUAAACGUCACUUCCAAGACUCCAGGUUCCAAGUUCAACUUGGCAGUUGAGCAGUUUCCAAACAGAAUCAGCAUCAUGCCAUCAUCCCGUCUCGUGAAAAUUGGGCAUCAUUCCGAACCGGUCACCGUCGACGACUCACCGUGACCUAGCAGUGAUGAGUUAUGCUUGUCACUCUAUCCAACAUCUCUGAUUACAAAUCAAGAUAUUUGAUUGCUGUUUGGACAUCCUUGUCGCCUCUACCGCUGCGGUUGGAAAAAAUAACACCCACGAGUGAUAUCCGAUGUCUUUUUGGUUAUAGACACACAUGAAAUUGAAGACAGAUGGAAACCAGCACUCCAGCAGAAAAGCAUGAUUGUUGGUAUUUGAAACUUGGUAUAAUGAUUUUAUUUAAAUCAUACCUGUAUUUCCCUUCAACGAUAACUUAGGUAUAGAGAGUAGUUAACUAGUUAUAAGUUAUUAUUUAUUUCUCUCACUGUGUCCAACAUCCAUCCUUACAAAAAGAGCAAGAUAAAAAAAUCUAAUAUAUAGCAUUAUUAUUGUGUUUCACAUUAACGAAUGGCUCUUCUCAUUAGACAUCAAGAUAUUUGAUUGCUGUUUGGACAUCUUUGUCGCCUCUGCCGCUGCAGUUAAGAACCAAUUUCGUGCCAUCAGGAAGAGUGGGG
rnacentral:lncRNA from 1 species